UGUCCAGGGAUGGGAAUCGAACCCACAGUGUUCCGCUUAACGAGCAGAUGUCAUGUCCAUUAGAUUACGCUGGAC
rnacentral:tRNA from 1 species